rnacentral:tmRNA from 1 species
GGGCCUGACUGGAAUUGACAGCGGAGGAGGUGGUGUGUAAGCACGCAGUGAGCCUGCAGGUGGUCACUCAAAUCACGGCCUGUAACAAUUUAUCUGGCGAAAAUGCUUACGCUCUCGCUGCUUAAUCGAAGUAUAGUAGAUUAGCUUCAUCUCAGCGCAAGGCGCAGAGACGAGACGUCGCCCAAGAGCCGUUUUCCCCGAGGCUUCUUGAUUCGGCGGCGCAGUGUAUCGGAGAUAGUUGUGGGUAGCCUCGUGCCCACAGCGAAAUGUUAGAGGAUACGGGUUGUGCCAAGGCUGCUUCCGCCCCAGCACAUCCCCGACAAUCCAAUAGGAAGCUAAGCGUGUAGAAAGCUCAUUAACUAUCCGUUUGGACGAGGGUUCAAUCCCCUCCAGGUCCACA